GUUUUUCAGCCACAGCCCUACGCUCACUCAUUCGACAGGGGAGUCAGCAACGUGAUCAAGGGCAGUAGAGCAAAUGUCUUCACAAAAUUCUGGUGCUACUACCCUAUCAUUAUCUACAAAAAAGUAAGUCAAAUGUAAACUAGCCACACAUAACCAUAUUUUGAGUGGAAACAUAUUUGAUGACUAUUGUUUCGUUACUUGUGCAUGGUAUCUUCAGUAAGUAGAAAUUUUGUGGUGUUUGAAGUUGCUGUAACUAUGCGUUAUAGUACUUUGGCGUCAAUAUACUUCUGGAUGCUUGCCAACGUCUUUUUUUUUCUUUUUGAUCAUGUACAGGAGAAAGCAAAGCGGCGAUGAAAUCGUAGAUUGCAUUCGCGAGAAUAUGCAGUCAAUGAACGAAUGGAAGUCUCAACAGCAGUCUCAACAGCAACAGCAGUCUCAAAAGCAACACGACUAUCUCUUCUACUUUUCCAUGAUGAUGGUCGGGAGGCUGAGGCUCCUCUCGCCAAUGAGACGCCUGCGCUUCAUAACGAAAGUACAAAGUGAUCUUUUAGAUGCUGAAAUUGAAGAGAACGAGGUGAAUGAAAGUUUCAAUAGAUUUAUUAAGAUGAAUGUACUACAUGAAAGAGGCAUGUGAUUGUCUUUUCGUUUUUCCUUCGCGUGCCUCAUGUUUACAUUCGUAGUUACUCAUUAAAUUUCUUGUCCCUGCUUG